AGCAGCCGCGGUAAUUCCAGCUCCAAUAGCGUAUAUUAAAGUUGUUGCAGUUAAAAAGCUCGUAGUUGAAUUUCGGGAUCAAUACGUCGGUCGUGCUUUCGGGUACGUACUGGCGUCAUUGGUUUCUCCCUUCUGACGAACCAUGAUGUCAUUAAUUUGGUGUUAUGGGGAGUUAGGACUGUUACUUUGAAAAAUUAGAGUGUUUAAAGCAGGCAUUAGCUUGAAUACAUUAGCAUGGAAUAAUGAAAUAGGACGUUCGAUCCUAUUUUGUUGGUUUCUAGGAUCAGCGUAAUGAUUAAUAGGGAUAGUUGGGGGCAUUAGUAUUCAAUUGUCAGAGGUGAAAUUCUUGGAUUUAUUGAAGACUAACUACUGCGAAAGCAUUUGCCAAGGAUGUUUUCAUUAAUCAAGAACGAAAGUUAGGGGAUCGAAGACGAUCAGAUACCGUCGUAG
rnacentral:rRNA from 1 species